GUCGAACGCUGGCGGCGUGCUUAACACAUGCCAGUCGAACGGAAAGGCCUGCUUUCCCUUGUGGAUUGCGGUUACUCGAGUGGCGAACGGGUGAGUAACACGUGAGUGAUCUGCCCCCAACUUGGGUAUAAGCCUGGGAAACUGGGUCUAAUUCCCGAUAGGACUGCAGGGUGGUGCCGGUGGUUGAAAACGAUUUUCUAGUGGUUGGGGAUGAGCUCGCGGCCUAUCAGCUUGUUGGUGGGGUAAUGGCCUACCAAGGCGGCGACGGGUAGCCGGCCUGGGAGGGUGGACGGCCACAUUGGGACUGAGACCCGGCCCCGACUCCUACGGGAGGCAGCAGUGGGGAAUAUUGAACAAUGGGCGGAAGCCUGAUGCAGCGACGCCGCGUGGGGGAUGACGGCGUUCGGGUUGUAAACUCCUUUCGACCGCGAGGAAGCCACCUGGUUGGAAGGGUGGUGACGGUAGUGGUAGAAGAAGCACCGGCUAACUACGUG
rnacentral:rRNA from 1 species